UUAAGCAUAUCAAUAAGCGGAGGAAAAGAAACCAACAGGGAUUGCCCUAGUAACGGCGAGUGAAGCGGCAACAGCUCAAAUUGAAAUCUGGCUCUUUAGAGUCCGAGUUGUAAUUUGCAGAGGGCGCUUUGGCUUUGGCAGCGGUCCAAGUUCCUUGGAACAGGACGUCACAGAGGGUGAGAAUCCCGUACGUGGUCGCUGGCUAUUGCCGUGUAAAGCCCCUUCGACGAGUCGAGUUGUUUGGGAAUGCAGCUCUAAAUGGGAGGUACAUUUCUUCUAAAGCUAAAUAUUGGCCAGAGACCGAUAGCGCACAAGUAGAGUGAUCGAAAGAUGAAAAGCACUUUGGAAAGAGAGUCAAACAGCACGUGAAAUUGUUGAAAGGGAAGCGCUUGCAGCCAGACUUGCUUACAGUUGCUCAUCCGGGCUUUUGCCCGGUGCACUCUUCUGUAGGCAGGCCAGCAUCAGUUUGGGCGGUAGGAUAAAGGUCUCUGUCACGUACCUCCUUUCGGGGAGGCCUUAUAGGGGAGACGACAUACUACCAGCCUGGACUGAGGUCCGCGCAUCUGCUAGGAUGCUGGCGUAAUGGCUGUAAGCGGCCCGUCUUGAAACACGGACCAAGGAGUCUAACAUCUAUGCGAGUGUUUGGGUGUCAAGCCCGAGCGCGUAAUGAAAGUGAACGGAGGUGGGAACCCGCAAGGGUGCACCAUCGACCGAUCCUGAUGUCUUCGGAAGGAUUUGAGUAAGAGCAUGGCUGUUGGGACCCGAAAGAUGGUGAACUAUGCUUGAAUAGGGUGAAGCCAGAGGAAACUCUGGUGGAGGCUCGCAGCGGUUCUGACGUGCAAAUCGAUCGUCAAAUUUGGGCAUAGGGCGAAAG
rnacentral:rRNA from 1 species